rnacentral:lncRNA from 1 species
AGAGACAGGGGAUGCAAAGGGUUCACGCCCUCUCUCUCUUCUCAAACUCUCACGCACCCUUGAACCCAGACGCCGCGCCGCCUUCAUCUCUCUCUCCGGCGAAGGUGACAGCAGCGAGGGCUGCGGCCGCCGCGGUUCCCUCUCCGGCGAAGCCGCGCCUGAGCGCCGCUCCCCUGGCUUCAUCUCUCUCUCUCACCACUCAGCCCUAAAUCCCCAAAAUCCCGAAUCUACCCUAAAUCCCCUAGCUUCAUCUCUCUCUCUCUCACCGCUUCCCUGAGCGCCACGACCGGAAGGCCACUUCUCCGUUCCCGGCCGAACAGCCGCCGCCGAGCCCAUCGUCUGAAAGCACCGCCUCACUGAUCUCGUUGCCUCGCUCCCUCUGAGCUCGAAACCCUAAGGCGCCGCCUCCUCUGCUCUACCUGCGCGAGUAGCUUCAAAGCGAAGCUACCGCUACUCGAUUUGGUCUGUAAUUUCUUAAAUUUGUUGCUGG